UGGUAAGCUUUCUAGGUGGCUUCUAAAAAGAGGAGUGAGAGGAGCUGGAGUGUCGAGAGGAGACGGUCGUCGCGUCUAAAUAUCUGUGUUCGAUCGUGUGUCGUUCGAGUCUCGUGGAGCGACCAGAUUCACUAGGAAGAGUUCCUAGUAAACCUACCGGAAGAAGGAGGAGGAGGACACGUAGGAGUAAAGACGCCGGUAGCACAGGAUGCGGGUGGUGCAUUAGGCCGCCGUUGCGGUCCCGACGCGAGUACCGGCGGUACUCGUUCGGCGGGAGUUCGACGGGGAACCGAGGUACCCGGACGGAAUGUAGCCGCUCUGGGAGGUCGAGAUGAGGGUCCUGGGGUCGCAGAAGGAGAGGAGGUUCGUCUUCGCCAUGCCGCUCUAGAAGUUCUGCGUGGAGGAGCCGACGGGCACGCACUACGACCGCUCGGGCCUCCGCCGCGCCAAGCACGACCACAGCGCCCGUUUGGACAAGUUCGGCUGCAUGGGCGCCUCGUUCCUCGCGGAGUAGCCGGGCAGCCGCGAGAAGAAGGUGGUCCCGCUGAUGGUGGAGGCAGAGGCGUCCGAGCAGGUCCCGGGCGAGCCGGGGCUCCGGGACGCGUUCGAGCACGGCCUGUAGCUCCGGCGGCACGCCCGUUGGGAGCGCCGGACCCGCCUGCCGCUGCAGCGGUCGUGGAAGGUGCGGUACUUCUCCGAGAGCAAGCUGCAGCCGUAGCACUGCUAGAAGCCGCCCGCCGACCUGCUCGCCGCCUUCCUCCUCGAGGCCGCCUUGAUGCGGCAGCACCUCUUUCCGAUGUUGAGGAAGGGGUUGUCGAAGGGGCCCUGCGAUAUGAUGUUCCGCUAGGUCCGCUCCGCCGCCGACUUGCCGCACGACUCGCUGUAGGACGUGCUCUCCUCCCUCGCCCCGCUCGGGCCGCUGCUGGACGAGCCGACGGAGUACGCCAGCGCCCGGCCGCCACUGCUGCCGCUGCUCCCGCGCGACAACUGCCUGCUCGUCCAGCGGCUGUUGCAGUAGCCGCACGACAAGCGCCGCGUCCUGUGCUGCCGGUCGCACGAGUGGACCUAGCAGUUCAUGGAGGUGCUGGCCGGCUUCGACGACCUCCGGCACUCCCGCCUCGUGCGGCGCUAGGUGCUCCGGUUGCUGCCGCCCUCCGCCGGCGACUGUACCCGCGUCUGCUCCUCGUACUGCGACUGCGUGUCCCACUAAAACCUCUCGGACUCCUACCGCUCGUAGUAGAGGAAGUGCAAGUCCCUCCGGCACCGGCUGCACCUCAUGUUUCCCAAAGAAUAGGGGUUCCCCACCUUCCACUACGGCGAGAAGUCCUUGUAGGUAGUGUCGGGCCUGAUGAAGGUCCUAGGUGUCUUCAAGCUGGGAAGCUCUAAGUUCCACCGCGGCGCCGGCUCGUGGAAGUGCGGCAAGCCCUCGCCCCACGUGCGCACGGGGCCCUUGCUCGACCGGUUCGAGCUCUACGACCACGAGUAGGUGGUGGACCAGUGGCCGAUGUCCACCCUCCAACAACCUAGCUCGCUGCUGCAGCUCAUGUCGGGUAAGGGACAAGGGGUCUUGCCGGACGAGCGGUCCAAUGCCGCCCUACUGUCGCAGACGCACCCAUCCUUCCCCACGCGCUGACUACUGUUGAUGCUGCUGCUUCUGCUUCACUAUCACACUAAUCAGUUGCAUCUAUCGAUCUCCCGGGAAGAGAGGAAAAAACAACAAUAACAACAACAACAACAACACCGUAAGAAGAGAUCCUUUUAGUAAUCUCUUCUUUGUUGUCUUGCUGAAAAAUCCUACUGCUACUAGUACAUGGCAUCACCAAUACAACAGUUACUACAUAACAGUAACUAUGUGCGUAUUUUACUGCGAAGGAAAAAGGC
rnacentral:rRNA from 1 species